GAGCUAAUGAAGAGGUCACUGUGAUUAAGAU
rnacentral:piRNA from 1 species